rnacentral:rRNA from 1 species
GAUGAACGCUGGCGGCGUGCCUAAUACAUGCAAGUCGAGCGAACAGACGAGGAGCUUGCUCCUCUGACGUUAGCGGCGGACGGGUGAGUAACACGUGGAUAACCUACCUAUAAGACUGGGAUAACUUCGGGAAACCGGAGCUACUACCGGAUAAUAUAUUGAACCGCAUGGUUCAAUAGAGAAAGACGGUUUUGCUGUCACUUAUAGACGGAUCCGCGCCGGAUUAGCUAGUUGGUAAGGUAACGGCUUACCAAGGCGACGAUGCGUAGCCGACCUGAGAGGGUGAUCAGCCACACUGGAACUGAGACACGGUCCAGACUCCUACGGGAGGCAGCAGUAGGGAAUCUUCCGCAAUGGGCGAAAGCCUGACGGAGCAACGCCGCGUGAGUGAUGAAGGUCUUCGGAUCGUAAAGCUCUGUUAUUAGGGAAGAACAAAUGUGUAAGUAACUAUGCACGUCUUGACGGUACCUAAUCAGAAAGCCACGGCUAACUACGUG